CAGUAGCCGCGGGAAUACAGAGGGUGCGAGCGUUAAUCGGAUUUACUGGGCGUAAAGCGUGCGUAGGCGGCUUUUUAAGUCGGAUGUGAAAUCCCUGAGCUUAACUUAGGAAUUGCAUUCGAUACUGGGAAGCUAGAGUAUGGGAGAGGAUGGUAGAAUUCCAGGUGUAGCGGUGAAAUGCGUAGAGAUCUGGAGGAAUACCGAUGGCGAAGGCAGCCAUCUGGCCUAAUACUGACGCUGAGGUACGAAAGCAUGGGGAGCAAACAGGAUUAGAUACCCCCGUAGUCCCUGUCUCUUAUAU
rnacentral:rRNA from 1 species